rfam:Triticum aestivum genome assembly, contig: Triticum_aestivum_CS42_TGACv1_scaffold_322125_4BL
UAUGUACUCCCUCCGUUCGGAAUUACUCGUCCAAAAAAUGAAUGUAUCUAGACGUGUUUUAGUUGUAGAUACAUUCAUUUUUGUGAUAAGUAAUUCCGAACGGAGGGAGUAGUUG